AACGAACGCUGGCGGCAGGCCUAACACAUGCAAGUCGAGCGCGCCUUUCGGGGUGAGCGGCGGACGGGUUAGUAACGCGUGGGAAUAUGCCCUUUGGUACGGAAUAGCCUCUGGAAACGGAGAGUAAUACCGUAUGAGCCCUUCGGGGAAAGAUUUAUCGCCAAAGGAUUAGCCCGCGUUAGAUUAGGUAGUUGGUGGGUAAUGGCCUACCAAGCCUACGAUCUAUAGCUGGUUUAGAGGAUGAUCAGCAACACUGGACUGAGACACGGCCCAGACUCUACGGAGGCAGCAGUGGGAAUCUUGGACAAUGGGGGCAACCCUGAUCCAGCCAUGCCGCGUGAGUGAUGAAGCCUUAGGGUCGUAAAGCUCUUUCGCC
rnacentral:rRNA from 1 species